GUUGGCGUUGAUUGUCACGUGGUUCGUGGAGACCGCAGGUAGUUCCCGGAAGUCCUAGGCAGGCAGAUAAUCUUCAGGCUCUACUGAACCCCCUGUGAUUCUUGUGCUGAGAGAGGGAGAACAAGAGAGAGAAAGGUUGCUGCUCCAUCAUCAUCAUCACUUGCUGAUGUUCCUGGUAAUCAAUAGUGUUCAUGAACUGAUUUCCUCAAUAGUGAGGACUUUGCAGGUGAAAUAAUAUUUUACUAUCGGCAAUGGACAACAGAGGACGGCGGGCCAAAAGCGAGUCGAGUAGAGGUGAGGAGAGUUGAGCUGGUGCCAGCCAUGGAAAAGCACUAUGGCUGGGCCUUCUGCUUUUGUUGCCCCACCGGCUAAGAGACCAGAUCAGGAUAUAAGCAGGGUUAGGACAGAGCUCCAAUCUCAAGGACUGAGGCCUGGAUCCCAACAUAUGCUCAAGCCAGGAAACGCCUUUUUAUUAUAGUGUUUGUCUCCACAUCCAGAACUCAUUGACACUGUGUCAGCGUUCCCAUCCCGGAAUUUCUUUCAGCUUCAUCCUUGUUUGGGGGGAAACCAGAGAGUGACAUAAUCAUGAGACUGAGAAAUAAUUACAUUCUGUAUGGGUUUG